UACGAAGGGUGCAAGCGUUAAUCGGAAUUACUGGGCGUAAAGGGUGCGUAGGCGGUUGUUUAAGUCUGUCGUGAAAUCCCCGGGCUCAACCUGGGAAUGGCGAUGGAUACUGGGCAGCUAGAGUGUGUCAGAGGAUGGUGGAAUUCCCGGUGUAGCGGUGAAAUGCGUAGAGAUCGGGAGGAACAUCAGUGGCGAAGGCGGCCAUCUGGGAAAACACUGACGCUGAAGCACGAAAGCGUGGGGAGCAAACAGG
rnacentral:rRNA from 1 species